UUUUAUCCAAGAUAAACACGUACUAAAUUUGGAAGGAUACAGGGAAGAAUAGCAUGGUCUCUACACAAAAAUGACAUGGGAAUUCAUGAAGCAUUUCACAAAAAA